rnacentral:rRNA from 1 species
GGGUUGUGAGGUUAAGCGACUAAGCGUACACGGUGGAUGCCCUGGCAGUCAGAGGCGAUGAAGGACGUGCUAAUCUGCGAUAAGCGCCGGUAAGGUGAUAUGAACCGUUAUAACCGGCGAUUUCCGAAUGGGGAAACCCAGUGUGACUCGUCACACUAUCAUUAACUGAAUCCAUAGGUUAAUGAGGCGAACCGGGGGAACUGAAACAUCUAAGUACCCCGAGGAAAAGAAAU